AUUGAACGCUGGCGGCAGGCCUAACACAUGCAAGUCGAGCGAGCGGCGGACGGGUGAGUAAUGUCUGGGGAUCUGCCCGAUAGAGGGGGAUAACUACUGGAAACGGUAGCUAAUACCGCAUACUAUCGGAUGAACCCAUAUGGGAUUAGCUAGUAGGUGGGGUAAAGGCUCACCUGGGCGACGAUCCCUAGCUGGUCUGAGAGGAUGACCAGCAACACUGGAACUGAGAGACGGUCCAGACGCCUACGGGAGGCAGCAGGGGGGAAUAUUGCACAAUGGGCGCAAGCCUGAUGCAGCCAGGCCGCGUGUAUGAAGAAGGCCUUCGGGUUGUAAAGUACUUUCAGCGGGGAGGCGUUACCCGCAGAAGAAGCACCGGCUAACUCCGUGCCAGCAGCCGCGGUAAUUC
rnacentral:rRNA from 1 species